rnacentral:rRNA from 1 species
AACGAACGCUGGCGGCAUGCCUAACACAUGCAAGUCGAACGAGACCUUCGGGUCUAGUGGCGCACGGGUGCGUCACGCGUGGGAACCUGACCUUAGGUUCGGAAUAACUCCCCGAAAGGGGUGCUAAUACCGAAUAAUGUCUUCGGACCAAAGAUUUAUCGCCUUUGGAUGGGCCCGCGUUGGAUUAGCUAGUUGGUAGGGUAAAAGCCUACCAAGGCGACGAUCCAUAGCUGGUCUGAGAGGAUGAUCAGCCACACUGGGACUGAGACACGGCCCAGACUCCUACAGGAGGCAGCAGUGGGGAAUAUUGGACAAUGGGCGAAAGCCUGAUCCAGCAAUGCCGCGUGAGUGAUGAAGGCCUUAGGGUUGUAAAGCGCUAUUACCCGGGAUGAUAAUGACAGUACCGGGAGAAUAAGCUCCGGCUAACUCCGUG